rnacentral:rRNA from 1 species
UUGGAUUCAGAGGUGGGGUUGUGGGUCGGGUGUGGCCCGGCAGCUUGUCUCCGUGUGCCGCUCCCAAUCAACCCGCGUUUGCCCCAGCCUCCUAUCGCACGGAAACGGAGUCCUGCUGGGGUCUCCUUAACUGGGGGUUCCAGCGCUUCCGCGCACAACGUGCGCUUACGGACCGUCCGUGGACGUUACUGUGAACAAAACAGCGUGUUCAAAGCAAGUGGCUUGCCUGCCCUGCAUGUUAAAGCAUGGAAUAACAAGGCAUCGACCACUCGGCGGUGCUUUUGUUGGUCUUUCCCUCCCGGUGGGAAUGCGCAGGCGUGCACACUGCCGGCCUUCUGGCCGGUCUGGGUGCCGUCUCUUCGAGAUCAAUAGGGGCAAACGGGGAGAUACCUAUUGUGGGGAGAGCGGUGAAAUGCGAUGACCCCCAUAAGAGGAACUUCAGCGAAAGCAGUUCUCAAGACUGCCUUCGUUAAUCAAGAACGAGACUGUGGGGAUCAAAGAUGAUCAGAUACCGUCGUAGUCCACUAGCGUAAACGAUGCCGACUCAUCAUUGGGGGGCAUCUCUAACAAGCG